CUAAUAUAUAAAUAGUCUUGAUUCACUAGAGUUUUUAAAAUAAAUUCAUUCAUACAGUAUAAAUUAUAUUAUAUUAUAUAUAUGUCAAUUUUAUUUUAUAUAUGUGUGAUUGUGUACCAUAUAGUACUAGUUAUGUACUCCCACAUUAUUAUGUGUACAAAUAUAAUACUUAUGCGUGUAUUGGGAUAAAUUAAAGUUACAUGCAAUGUAGGGGAAGAAUUGAUAUAUGUGCGUGACUUAUCAAGUAAGCAUUUAUAUAUGUAUUAUUUUGCAGCUCAAGUUUUUUUUAUAAAACUACACGUUUUCAGUUUUACUAAUUACGUGUUUUCCUUUUAAAAUGGGUAAAGUGACUCAACAAAGUUUUAGCCGACAUAUAUAUAAUUUGAGAUACGGAGUACAUUUUGGGCAUUGGAAAAAUUAUAGAGAAAAGGAAAAACAGAGCUUGAGACGUGUAUGUUGAAGAAUAAAAUUUUACAUCGAACACUGAAAUAAAAUCACUCUUUCGGACACAAGUAGAAGCGAAAGUGGCAGAUUAGAAGACAAAAUUGGGAGUUUGGCUAGAUUAUCUAUCAUAUCGUAUUCAGGAAUAAGAUAUGAGUGAAGUUUUUGGUUGAGAUGAGUCGUGGGAAUUGCACAUGUUAUCAGGGUCGGCGGCUGACACGUUUUGACAACCUUCUCCUCUCAUCAUUUUUGCAUGUUGAUAAAUGUAUAGUAUAUAGAGUGGUGAGAGGGUCCCACUACUGUUAGAAUGUUUUGAAAUAUGUACUUGAUAGCUGUUGAUUUCUAAAAUUAUAUAUAAUAUGUGUGCUUUUGAAAAAUUUGAAUUUAUUUGUAGUAAGUGCAUAAGUCAUAAGGGUUGAGGUGUGACAGUUUAGGUGGUAUCAGAGCGGGGAUAGAAUCCCGCUGGGACAUAGCAUUCGUACAUAUCGUAUGAUACAUUUUGGUCAUAAGUUUCAUUUGUAUUUUUAUUAUCAUGAACAUGUGUCACCGAGGAGAGAAGGGUCAGCCGCCCUGCAUCAUCAAUUAAUUAUAGAGUGCAUUUCAUAUAUAUGUUGCAUCAUAUGGGGAUUACCCAGGCUUUUAGAACAAAGAGUGCAUGGACUAGUGAUGAGGUAAAGAGGUAGAAAAUUUAAAGAGCUCGAGUAGAAGUUGUUGAUUUUAUGAGACUAAUCUGACUGAGACUGGGAUAUAGUUAAAAGUGAUAGAACCGGUGUUCAAUCAAAUGAGUUGUAUGUCAGAAGAAGGUUUUGAUUAUAGGGUAUCUCUUAUUUGAAGCAAUACUUACUCUUGGUGGGAAACAGUCCCACAAGCUAUGAUACAACCUCUGGUAUUCUGGUAUUCAGUUAAGACGAUUUUUCUAGGGAACUCAAUGCUAAAUAUAUGCGAAGAAGUGUAUUGUGAUAAGAAGCAGAGAAGGUUUUAUGUUUGUUGAUUAUGAGCUGACAUUAUUUCAAUAUACACGGUUUUCUAAAGAGUGUAUUGCGAGUUAAUUCGAUUGAUCUGUCGGUGGAUAUUGAUUCUCUUAUUCAUAAACAAGUUUUGACAUUAUUAUGUGUAUAGAUUGGUUUUCACUUCAUCGAACCAAGGUAGCUUGUCAAGCAAAAGAAAUGGUAAUAUAAUCAUCGAGACGGGAUCAAGUGAUAUAUUGUUCCAGGUUUUCUUAUAUUAUCUAGAUCGGCUUUUUGAUUUAUUGGAAGUGCAGAUUUAUCUGGAUUUUCACCUUAUCAGGAGACAUAUUUCUCUAUUGGGCACUGCAUUUAUUUUUAUUUAUAUUUAUCAACCGUCUUCGUUAGAGUUUCGAGAGUUGAAGAAACAGUUACAAGAGUUUUCAGAGAAAUGUAUUACUUAAUGUUUUA